rnacentral:rRNA from 1 species
GCACGGGUGCGUAACGCGUAUGCAAUCUACCUUUUACAGAGGGAUAGCCCAGAGAAAUUUGGAUUAAUACCUCAUAGUAUAAUGACUCGGCAUCGAGAUAUUAUUAAAGUCACAACGGUAAAAGAUGAGCAUGCGUCCCAUUAGCUAGUUGGUUAGGUAACGGCUUACCAAGGCUACGAUGGGUAGGGGUCCUGAGAGGGAGAUCCCCCACACUGGUACUGAGACACGGACCAGACUCCUACGGGAGGCAGCAGUGAGGAAUAUUGGACAAUGGGCGCAAGCCUGAUCCAGCCAUGCCGCGUGCAGGAUGACGGUCCUAUGGAUUGUAAACUGCUUUUAUACGAGAAGAAACACUCCGACGUGUCGGAGCUUGACGGUAUCGUAAGAAUAAGGAUCGGCUAACUCCGUGCCAGCAGCCGCGGUAAUACGGAGGAUCCAAGCGUUAUCCGGAAUCAUUGGGUUUAAAGGGUCCGUAGGCGGUUUAAUAAGUCAGUGGUGAAAGCCCAUCGCUCAACGGUGGAACGGCCAUUGAUACUGUUAAACUUGAAUUAUUAGGAAGUAACUAGAAUAUGUAGUGUAGCGGUGAAAUGCUUAGAGAUUACAUGGAAUACCAAUUGCGAAGGCAGGUUACUACUAAUGGAUUGACGCUGAUGGACGAAAGCGUGGGUAGCGAACAGGAUUAGAUACCCUGGUAGUCCACGCCGNUAACGAUGGAUACUAGCUGUUGGAAGCAAUUUCAGUGGCUAAGCGAAAGUGAUAAGUAUCCCACCUGGGGAGUACGUUCGCA